AGGGCGUAUGGUGGAUGCCUAGGCUCUCAGAGGCGAUGAAGGACGUGAUAAGCUGCGAAAAGCUCCGUUUAGGUGCAAAUAACCUUUGAUGCGGAGAUCUCCGAAUGGGAUAACCCAAUAUGUUGAAGACAUAUUAUACCGUAAGGUAGGCAAACGCAGGGAACUGAAACAUCUAAGUACCUGCAGGAGAAGAAAACAAACGUGAUUCCCCCAGUAGCGGCGAGCGACCGGGGAUAAGCCCAAACCGUUAUUGUUUCGGCAGUAGCGGGGUAGUAGGACUGCGACAUUGAUGAAAUAAAUGAAAUGGAACACCUUGGAAAAUGUGAUCACAGAGGGUGAUAAUCCCGUACAUGCAAGUUUAUGAAUCAUAGCAGUAUCCUGAGUAAGUCGGGACACGUGUAAUCCUGACCGAAUCCGCCGGGACCAUCCGGCAAGGCUAAAUACUCCUGAGAGACCGAUAGUGAACCAGUACCGUGAGGGAAAGGUGAAAAGCACUUCGAACAGAAGAGUGAAAUAGUCCCUGAACCCAUACGCCUACAAGCAGUCGGAGCCGCUUCGUGCGGUGACGGCGUGCCUUUUGCAUAAUGAGCCUACGAGUUACUCAUCACCAGCGAGGUUAAGUACUUCAGGUACGUAAGCCGAAGCGAAAGCGAGUCUGAAUAGGGCGUCAAGUUGGUGGUGGUAGACGCGAAACCUUAGUGAUCUACCCAUGGGCAGGGUGAAGGUUUGGUAACACAAACUGGAGGCCCGAACCGGUAAACGUUGAAAAGUUUUCGGAUGACCUGUGGGUAGGGGUGAAAGGCCAAUCAAACUGGGAAAUAGCUCGUACUCUCCGAAAUGCAUUUAGGUGCAGCCUGUCGAGUUUCGUUACCGAGGUAGAGCUACUGAUUGGAUGCGAGGGCUUCACCGCCUAUCAAAUCCGGCCAAACUCCGAAUGCUAGAACAUGAAGACAGGGAGUGAGCCAGCGGGUGCUAAGGUCCGUUGACGAAAGAGGGAGAACUCAGACCAUCAGCUAAGGUCCCCAAUUGUAUGCUAAGUUGGAAUUAAAACGGGGUGGGACUGCUUAGACAGCUAGGAUGUUGGCUUGGAAGCAGCCAUUCAUUUAAAGAGUGCGUAACAGCUCACUAGUCGAGCGGUCCUGCAUGGAUAAUACGCGGGCAUAAGCAUAUAACCGAAGCUAUGGGAUUGUAGAUGAUACAAUCGGUAGGAGAGCAUUCCAUUCAGCAUAGAAGCAGUACCGUGAGGUAUUGUGGAGCGGAUGGAAAAGCAAAUGUAGGCAUAAGUAACGAUAAUGCGGGUGAGAACCCCGCACGCCGAAAGAUCAAGGAUUCCCCGGCAAUGUCAAUCAUCCGGGGGUAAGUCGGAUCCUAAGGGUAAGCCGAGUGGCGAUCCCGAUGGCAAACAGGUUAAUAUUCCUGUACUGAUCAUAACUGCGAUGCAGCGACGCAGAGGUGACACUGCUGCGUACUGACGGAAUAGUACGUUGAAACCCGUAUUCUUUGAUACCGGUAGUGAAGCACGCCGGUAGAGAUGAAAGGUGAUAGUACCGCAAUGCUUCGGUUGCGCGGAUAAUGCAGGUAAGCUGACUGCCAAGAAAACCUGCUAAGCUUCAGGUAAUGAUCAUCCGUACUGUAAACGGACACACGUGAUCAGGUAGAAAAUACUAAGGCGCUCGAGAGAUUCAUGGUUAAGGAACUAGGCAAAAUGGUCCUGUAACUUCGGGAUAAAGGACGCUCUUGUGAAAGAGCCGCAGAUAAUAGGCCCAGGCGACUGUUUACCAAAAACACAUGGCUAUGCUAAUUCGCAAGAAGAUGUAUAUGGCCUGACACCUGCCCGGUGCCGGAAGGUUAAGAGGAGAGCUCAGAUGUAAGUCGAAGGUUUGAAUUGAAGCCCCGGUAAACGGCGGCCGUAACUAUAACGGUCCUAAGGUAGCGAAAUUCCUUGUCGGGUAAGUUCCGACCUGCACGAAUGGUGUAACGAUCUGGGUACUGUCUCAACCAUGAGCUCGGUGAAAUUGUAGUUCCGGUGAAGAUGCCGGAUACCCGCAACGGGACGGAAAGACCCCGUGAACCUUUACUGCAGCUUUGCAUUGAUUUUGGGUAACAGAUGUGUAGGAUAGGUCGGAGGCUUUGAUGCUGCGUCGUCAGGCGUAGAGUAGCCGUCGUUGAAAUACGACCCUUUUGUUAUCUGAGGUCUAACCCGUUAGGGAGACAUUGCAUGGUGGGUAGUUUGACUGGGGUGGUCGCCUCCAAAAGUGUAACGGAGGCUUCUCAAGGUACCCUCAAGGCGUUUGGUAAUCGUCUGCAGAGUGCAAUGGCAUAAGGGUGCUUGACUGUGAGACCGACACGUCGAUCAGGUUGG
rnacentral:rRNA from 1 species